ACAGCUCUUAAAUCACUUAAGUCAUUGGCCUAGAAAACAUCAAUAGUGUCAAGAUUAGGCUUUACCACCUCCCCCUUCCUUGUGUUUUCUCUGUCAGUUUUGUCUGUCAUGUCAUGUCAUGUCUUGUCUGUGUGUUUGUGGGCGUUUCUGGCUGCGGCUGCUGGAUCGUCACCACCUGCAGCGUCUCGCACCUGUGGCUCAUGCCGUAAUCAACCCAUGCAGUGCAAUUGUCCGGCUCAUCUUACACUCCUCGCCAGUUUAUCUCCCGUGAUGUUCCCUGUGUGUAACUUCAGUCUGCCUGCCAGUCAGGCAGCCCAGAACUGAGCUCAAGGACGGAAUCGCAGAAUCUGGAGUUCUCUGCCCCAUCCCCAACCACCUGGUUUUCUCCGUGCACAUUGACAAUAAACCUGCCUGAGUUUUUGACACAU